rnacentral:rRNA from 1 species
UCCCUCAUGUAAACCAGCUAUGACUCUUGUAAAUCGACGACCAGUCUUGGUCAUCGAGAGGAAGUAAAAGUCGUAACACCGUUUCCGUAGUCGAACCUGCGGAAGGAUCAUUAUAGUAUACCUAUAGUUGGGAUGUAGGGUGUUUUAUCUAGAGCGUAGACGUAAAACUCUAUUGCUUAAGUAGGCAUCCUCCCCGCCAAACCUUGUAAAUAUAAACUUAAUUGUUACCUUGGUAGGAUUACCUGCCUGUGGACAACUAUAAACUCUUUUAAAAAUUGGCUGAAACUAUUGUAACUGUCUGAAAUAUUGUUAAUAUUAAAACUUUCAACAACGGAUCUCUUGGUUCUGGCAUCGAUGAAGAACGCAGCGAAAUGCGAUAAGUAGUGUGAAUUGCAGAAUUCAGUGAAUCAUCGAAUCUUUGAACGCACAUUGCGCCCCUCGGUAUCCCGGGGGGCAUGCCUGUUCGAGCGUCAUUUCUACCACUCAAGCUUAGCUUGGUAUUGGGAAUCGUUGCUCCUUUUUAAGAAAGGAUUUAACGUGCCUUAAAUGUAGACGGCGGCAAACACUAGUUCCGAGCGUAGCAGUAAAACAUUUCGCUUUUGGAGUCUAGAGUAUUGUCUACCGUAUAGUUUUACUACAGUUUGACCUCGGAUCACGCAGGGAUACCCGCUCAACUUAAGCAUAUCAAUCAUUCAAUGAGUCUUAUCUGUUUCCAGAGUCGUCGCUGUUCCAACGGAAGA